ACCAACAGGGACUCCCUAAUUCCCAUCCAUCAGCUGAUCUGUAGACUGGAGAGUCAAGGAGUGAUCAGCAGGACCCGCUCACCCUUUGAUAGCCCAUAUGCCAGUGCAAAAGUCUAAUGAAGAUUGGAGACUAACAGUUGACUAUCAUGGCCUGAAUGAAGUUACACCACCAUUGAGUGCUGCCAUACCGGACAGGCUAGAAUGACAGUAUGAGCUGGAGUCAAAGGCAACCAAGUGGUAUGCCACGACUGAUAUUGGCAAUGCAUUUUUCUCAAUUCCUUUGGCAGCAGAGUGUAGGCCACAGUUCGCUUUUACUUGGAGGGGUGUCCAGUACACUUGGAACCAACUGCCCCAGGGAAAGAAACACAAGCUUUCUUGGGUGCAGUGGAGUUCUGGAGAAUGCACAUCCCGAAUUACAGUUUGAUUGUAAUCCCUCUCUAGCAUGUGACACAGAAGAAGAAUGAUUAUAAAUGAGGCCCUGAGCAACAACAAGCCUUUUAGCAAAUUAAACAAGAGAUAGUUCAUGCAGGAGCCCUUGGACCAGUCUGGACAGGGCCAGCUGCAAAAAAUGUACCAUACACCGCAGCUGGGGAGAAUGGUCCUACCUGGAGCCUCUGUCAGAAAGCUCCAGGGGAGACUAGAGGCCGACUCCUCGGCUUUCGGAGUCGGGGAUACAGAGAAUCUGAGGCCAGCUAUACCCCAACAGAGAAAGAGAUACUGGCAGCCUAUGAAGGGGUUCGAGCUGCUUCAGAAGUGACUGGCACUGAAGCACAGUUCCUCCUGGCACCCCUGUUGCCCAUGCUGGGCUGGAUGUUCACAGGCAGGGUCUCCUCUACACAUCAUGCAACUGAUGCUACAUGGAGUAAGUGGGCUGCACUAAUUACACAACGAGCUUGAAUAGGAAAUCCCAGUCGUCCAGGCAUUCUAGAAGUCAUCAUGGACUGGCCAGAGGGCAAAGAUUUUGGAAUGUCACCAGAGGAGGAGGUGAUGCAUGCUGAAGAGGCCCCACCAUAUAAUCAGCUGUCAGAAAGUGAAAAGCAAUAUGCCUUGUUUACUGAUGGGUUCUGCCGUAUUGUGGGAAAACAUCGGAGA